rnacentral:lncRNA from 1 species
GAAUUAACCGUUAUAGAUAUGCAAUUUCCUAGAUAUUAAUACAUGCAUUUUCAGAAAUUGAAAAAAAGAAAUACCUCUAACAAAGUGGUUGUUAAAGUUGAUGCAAGGAAUGUUAACGGUCCAAUCAAAUACCGUAGUUUAUAUAUAUCUUCCAGAUAGUACGACCCGACUAUAAAAGCUUACUACAGAUAGAUCUGCGUCGCACUGUGCUAUUUGACACGCUUACGUUCUAACCAAGCAUACAGAAAUCUCUCACUACUUUUUCAACCACAAAACAGAAUCAGGUAUGUACGUACUAUUGAAUAUAUUUGUAUUAUUCAUUUACACAAUAAGCUCGUCUUUAAAAAUAUAUUAUAUACCUAAAAGGUUUGUUCUCUGUAGAUGAGCUAUACAAUAUUCUAAGACCAAAGUUUUCUUUAAAUUGUAAGUUCAAAUAAUUUUACUGAUAAACCUGAAAUUUCUGGCAUAUACUGUUAUUACAUCAGUUCAAUGGUCAGAAACUAAUUAGUGAUCUCUUAAAAAGUAUAAGAAUUGGACUGAGAAAUUUUCAAAACUAAAUAAAAUUAAGUAAAGUUGGUAUGAUUGUAAAUGAAACAGAUUCAUUCACCCAGAGUUUGAAUGAAUUAGAUAUAAGAAAUUAUAGGUCUUUAUACCGAACGAAAAAAAUCAAGUGUAUUAUCAUAAUAAAUCUGGGACAUUUAAAAUACGAAACUGAAUACAUAAGAAUGUAAUAAACAGCAGAAUUUUCAGAAAAUGCACCAUGUCUAAUGAAAUAUAUGCGAUCGAUAAACGUAGUAAGUGCGUUAAAAUAAUGUGUUAUUGCAUUCUUUGUACAAAUUAUAAAUACAUGUUUUCAUAAUACCAGCAAUAUUUAAUACACAGUAAAACAAUAAGAAAACCAAUGUCUACUUUGCAUAUUUUCAAAUUGAUUGUUUGGUUUAUUUGUAGUAAAAUAAAACAUUAUUUAAACUAUGAAAUAAAUGCAUUUAAUGCAGUCCAUUGGAUUGCAUUGAUUCUUAUUAAUAUUAUGAAAUUUCAAUUGAUGCUUUAAAUAAAUGUAAUAAUUAAUUAUAUAAAGCAUAACAUUGAAUUUUCUGUUUUUUGCUUAUUUGAAAAUUCUGGAUACCAUUGCCUACUUAUCUCUUAUCUAAAACCGUAUUUAUUUUUUACAGUAGAAACAUGUCUGGAAGAGGUCAAGGCCAAGCUAGUAACGAUAACAAGUCUGCCCAGUGUAAUCCAACCAGCACUAAAUAUGAAGGACAUCAGCCUGGUUAUACUGGAACCGGGACUAAGCCAGACCUGGACAACCACUCCAACCAAUUGAAUCCAAACAAUCAGGAAUAUAAGGGAUCGAAAUAACAAUGAUAUUUUCACGAAUCGGGUUAUAUAAACCUGUGCGAGACAUUUACUGUUUCAGCAAUUUGAUAAAUUAAAAUGUUUUAAAUUAAACUUUCCUACCUGAUUUCGUGUGUAAAACACUGCUUUGCCAACGUGGUGUUGUAACGUUAGUUCUUUCUGUCCAAGGUGUACUUUAGUCUAUACUGUUUGAUUGUAUUUUAGAUUUCGUCUACUUUUAAAGUUGUUUUUAGUGUUUGAAUGAAUGUUUAAUUAGUUAAAACUUCAAACUUAUUUUCAGCCAUUUUCAUUUGCAGUAAAAUGUAAUUACUAUUUUGAGAA